AACGAACGCUGGCGGCAUGCCUAACACAUGCAAGUCGAACGAGACCUUCGGGUCUAGUGGCGCACGGGUGCGUAACGCGUGGGAACCUGCCCUUAGGUUCGGAAUAACUCCCCGAAAGGGGUGCUAAUACCGGAUAAUGUCUUCGGACCAAAGAUUUAUCGCCUUUGGAUGGGCCCGCGUUGGAUUAGCUAGUUGGUAGGGUAAAAGCCUACCAAGGCGACGAUCCAUAGCUGGUCUGAGAGGAUGAUCAGCCACACUGGGACUGAGACACGGCCCAGACUCCUACGGGAGGCAGCAGUGGGGAAUAUUGGACAAUGGGCGAAAGCCUGAUCCAGCAAUGCCGCGUGAGUGAUGAAGGCCUUAGGGUUGUAAAGCUCUUUUACCCGGGAUGAUAAUGACAGUACCGGGAGAAUAAGCUCGGGCUAACUCCGUG
rnacentral:rRNA from 1 species